rnacentral:misc_RNA from 1 species
GAUGAAGAACGUAGCGAAAUGCGAUAAGUAAUGUGAAUUGCAGAAUUCAGUGAAUCAUCGAAUCUUUGAACGCACAUUGCGGCCUUUGGCAUUCCGAAGGGCACACCUGUCCGAGCGCCGUCGCACAACUGAGGCGCAGCCUUGCGUUGGCGGGCGACUUGUGAGUAGCGAGUCGCCGCCCAAACGAGACGGCGCCGCGCCGCGGCCGACGAAGCACGAAAGCGGAAGUCGACGCGGAGGCGGUUGCCUGUAGGAAGACACAGCUUGGCCUCGGAUCAGGUGGGGAUACCCGCUGAACUUAAGCAUAUCAAUAAGCGGAGGA